UACAGAGGUCUCAAGCGUUGUUCGGAUUCAUUGGGCGUAAAGGGUGCGUAGGCGGCGCGGUAAGUCGGGUGUGAAAUCUCGGAGCUUAACUCCGAAACUGCAUUCGAUACUACCGUGCUUGAGGACUGGAGAGGAGACUGGAAUUUACGGUGUAGCGGUGAAAAUGCGUAGAUAUCGUAAGGAAGACCAGUGGCGAAGGCGGGUCUCUGGACAGUUCCUGACGCUGAGGCACGAAGGUCAGGGGAGCAAACGGG
rnacentral:rRNA from 1 species